rnacentral:lncRNA from 1 species
CAUUUCCAAAUAUACAAAACAUAAGGUACUGAAUUCUUUUACAUAGACUAAUAUGAUUCAAAAAUACAAUGGUCGAUGAGAGGACAAAAAAGGCUCAGGAUUUUCUUUUGUACAUCAAUGCCAACUAAAAAUAAUAAGAAUUGUAAUUAAAGAAAAGCGAUCAAAAAACUGUUAAGAGCAUUUGACUUGCACUCUGACUCAAUGUUUUGUUGGCACAUUUCCUCAUGAACAAAUUUUCUUUACUAACCCUCCUAUAAACUUUCAGCUGGAUGUCGGUGCCACCGAACUACCCGCUCAAUUGUAGGCUCAACUCCAACCAGCUCCAUUCUAGGAAUAGAUGGAUUUUUAGUUUUCGACUCCUACUUCAAAAAAGUUUGUUCGUCCUCUACUUUGAGUAGGAACCAUAGUCAUACUACAAACACAUCAAAAGUAACGGUUGAAGUAAUGCAGAAUAAUAUUCUCAAGUUUAAUAUACACAGGAAAAUGAAAAUAUCAUUAUAACAAACAAGGAAAAAGGUUUAUAAGUUCUAUAUUGAUGCUCACAAUGUCUCUAUCCAGCUCAGAAAGUCAUUUUACUUUUGAGAGCAUCAUCGAUUUAAUCUUUAUUUUCUCAAGUGGAUAACAAUUCCUCAUUGUCACCAACUACACAAUAGGAAAUGUGAAUAAAAAGACUGCAGUAAGAAUUAAGGGAGAAGUCCAGGGAAGUUUAACCCCCACUCUCAAAUGAGGGAUCCAUGUGCUUACUUUGCUUUCCAUGUAGCUUCAAAAUAAUGUAUUACCUGUUGUAGAUUUUUACUUGUUCUCACUGCCAUUCUACUGGCAAUCCCACAAGGAAAAUAUAUGCCUUCUUCUUUCAUAGCAGUGAACGCUGAACC